CUCAAAGUUAGAUUUUUUUAACAUUUCCAGAGCUAGUUUUCUUUUUAUCUGGAGCUUGUAUUGAUUUCCUCCCUGAUGCCAACGCUACAAUUAUAUUUUCCAUUAAUUCCAGACGAUAAUUUCCUCCACGAUUCUCAAAGUUAGAUUUUUUUUAACAUUUCCAGAGCUAGUUUUCUUUUCAUCUGGAGCUUGUAUUGAUUUCCUCCCUGAUACCGACGCUACAAUUAUAUUUUCCAUUAAUUCCCGACGAUAAUUUCCUCCACGAUUCUCAAAGUUAGAAUUUUUUGACUCAUUUCCAGAACAAAUUUUCUUUUCAUCUGGAGCUUGUAUUGAUUUCCUCCCUGAUGCCAACGCUACAAUUGUAUUUUCCAUUAAUUCCCGACGAUAAUUUCCUUUACGAUUCUCAAAGUUAGAUUUUUUUAACAUUUCCAGAGCUAGUUUUCUUUUUAUCUGGAGCUUGUAUUGAUUGCUUCCCUGAUGCCGACCCUACAAUUAUGUUUCCUAUUAAUUCCAGACACUAAUUUCCUUUACAAUUCUCAAAGUUAGAUUUUUUAACUUAUUUCCAGGGCUAACUUUCUUUUUAUCUGGAGUUUGUAUUGAUUUCCUCCCUGAUGCCGACGCUACAAUUAUGUUUCCUAUUAAUUUCCGCUACUAAUUUCCUUCACGAUUCUCAAAUUAAUAUUUUUUUAAACUCCUUUCCAGAGCUAGUAACAUUCUUCUCUCCAUAUACCAAUGAUUAAAUGUGUAUGUUUUUUUUCUAUUUCCCGAUGCUAGAUUUUUCUCCUCUAAGCUAGAACGGUUUUAUAUAUAUUUCUUGAUGUGUUUUCCCUGUUAAGUACUUAGAACGUUAUAGUUUUCCUGCUCCCGAAUUUUCCUUGUCAUCAAAUUUUCCUUCGCUAGAUUUUUUUUCCUGGACCAGAAUUUGCUUUUUUUUUCCUAAGUGCACAGGACUAAAAUUUUUCACGCACCAGAAUUUCAGUUUUUCUUUAUUUUCCGACUUCAUGAUUUUACGUGAAACAGAUCUUAAAAUUUUCGCCUCCCAAGCAUAUAUAUUUGACAAGGCUUUCGUGGGAGCUUGGGGCAUUUCCAGGGGUAGUUUUAUGACCCUAGUGAUAGUAUGACCCUUCUUCUGUACCAUCAACCUAAAAGAACACUCAUGAGAGCCCGACUGGUUUCCUUCUCGACCUUUGGAAAUGGUUGGUGUAAGGGGUGGCAGCGUCUGGGAACACCAACAUUUCCAGGGGUAGUUUUAUGACCCUGGUGGUAGUGUGACCCUUCUUCUGUACCAUGAACCUAAAAGAACACUCAUGAAAGCCCGACUGGUUUCCUUCUCGACCUUUGAAAUGGUUGGUGUGAGAGGUGGCAGCGCCUGGAAGCACCAACAUUUCCAGGGGUAGUUUUAUGACCCUGGUGGUAGUUUGACCCUUCUUCUGUACCAUGAACCUAAAAGAACACCCAUGAGAGCCCGACUGGUUUCCUUCUCGACCUUUGAAAUGGUUGGUGUGAGGGGUGGAAGCGCCUGGAAGCACCAACAUUAGGCUCCCCGAGUCGGGCCAGGAGACGCCCAUUUCGUGUCUUCCCUCCGUGCUUGCGUGACGUCUGAAGCGCCUCGUGACGUCACAGAGACAUAAAUGACGUCACGAUAUGCUGGUCAGGGGGGGAGGGUGAGUAAAGUGUGUGUGUGUGUGUGUGUGUGUGUGUGUGUGUGUGUGUGUGUGUAUCGAACGUGUUUGUGGCUGGGAUGCGGCCAAGGGUGGGUCCAGACGCCUUCGGUUCUCAAAACAACCAUUUUCCAAGGCCAUAAAGGAGGUCAGUCGCGUUCUAAUGAGUGUUUGUUUAAGUUCACGGUACAGAAAAGGGAUCAAACUACCACUUGGGUCAUAAACUACAUCUGCCUAUGCCCCAGACUCCUGCGAAAGCCUUGUUAAAUGAGCGUGCUUGGGCUCUGAGAUGUUUAAGAAUGUUGUCCCACUGUUCGUAUUCCCAGAAGCCUCACAACAACUAUAUAUUCCAAGGUUCUCAUAAGGUCCUUUCACAACAACUAUAUUCCAAGGUUCUCAUAAGGGCUUUCCACAACAACUAUAUUCCAAGGUUCUCAUAAGGGCUUUUCACAAUUACUAUAUUCCAAGGUUCUCAUAAGGGCUUUUCACAACAACUAUAUUCCAAGGUUCUCAUAAGGGCUUUUCACAACAACUAUAUUCCAAGGUUCUCAUAAGGGCUUUUCACAACAACUAUAUUCCAAGGUUCUCAUAAGGGCUUUUCACAACAAUAUUCCAAGGUUCUCAUAAGGGCUUUUCACAUUCAUGGUACAGAAUCAAACUAUCACGAGGCUCAUAAAUCUGCCCAUGGAAAUAGCCCACAAUAACUUCUACCAAAACCAUAUUUUCACGUUCAUGGUGCCUUGUCAAACUAUUAUAUUAGGCUCAUAAAACUAUACCCAUGGAAGUACUAACACAACCUCCUUUAAAGCUUAGCAACUGUGGAUGUGUAUGUCUCGAAAUGUUUGGGUAUAUGCAUUGGGAAAAAAUAGAUAGAUAGAUAGAUAGAUAGAUAGAUAGACAGAUAGAUAGAUAGAUGGGCAGAUAGAUAUGUAGGACAGGACAACAAAGGACGAGAAGAGUAGGGAAAAAGCAAUGGUCAAGAAAUAUAUUUAAUGUAGGAGAAAAUUUAAUGACUAGAGGAUGACCAAAAGAAACAGCAUGACACAAAGGUUAAGGUAGGUCAGGACGAGAUAGGAAGACCCUCUGUACAUGGUCUGGCCUCGUGCCCCAAAAGAAACUACCUACCUGUCCCAUGGGCGUGGCCGGGGUGUGGCUGAACAAGGACCAUAUUUGCAAGCAUUCCGUGGCACACACACACACACACACACACACACACACACACACACACACACACACACCGCUCCGGUAGCUCAGUGUUAAAGCUCAGCGCUGCCAGACUUCGCGGCCUGACAGACGGAGGUUCGAGCCCCGUUCUGGCCGGGAUUUUUCCGCCAACAAAGAGUGGUUACUGUUCCCCAUUGAGCAAGGGGGACCAUGGGGUGUUUUUUUUG